rnacentral:rRNA from 1 species
UACGGAGGGUGCAAGCGUUUAUCCGGAUUCACUGGGUUUAAAGGGUGCGUAGGAGGGCAGGUAAGUCAGUGGUGAAAUCUCCGAGCUUAACUUGGAACUGCCGUUGAUACUAUCUGCCUUGAAUAUUGUGGAGGUGAGCGGAAUAUGUCAUGUAGCGGUGAAAUGCUUAGAUAUGACAUAGAACACCAAUUGCGAAGGCAGCUCGCUACACAUAUAUUGACUCUGAGGCACGAAAGCGUGGGGGAUCAAACAGG